rnacentral:misc_RNA from 1 species
UGACAGUUAACCGCGGUGCUCUUGUGAUCAUGAAGGGUGAGAAGAUUAGUACAAAGAAUCUCUACAAAUUGGAAGGAAGCACAUUGAUUGGAAGAAUGCAAGUGGAAGCAAGAGGCAACAUCAACAAUCAAGAGUGCAAGGAAGUACCCAAGAGAAAAUUGAUUUUUGCAGAAAUUGUGAAGGUUAAUUCUGUAUGACUUGAAGAUUGAGAGGGUUGAAGAAAAUAUUUGAUUGGUGUAAGAAAAUUUAAGUCAAGGUGGAAAUUUGUUAUAUGCCCUAACUUUAAUUCUUAUUUGUUAAGAAUUAAACACUCUUAAUGAUUAAGAAUUUUGCCCUAGCUUUGUUAUAUGCCCUAGCUUUGAAGAGUAUGGUUGAACCAAACUGUCUUUGAAUUAUCAAGGACUUAACCAUAAAGAAGUUUUGUUGGCAAGUGUCUUGAAAAGAAUUUAAAAAAAUAAAGGAAAUGCAAGUUUGGACAAGUUGCAGGAGGCGGUAAUUCUUUUGCCCUAAAUAUAGUUGAUUCAUAUGUGCCUAUAUAAAGGAGAUUAUUUAUCUAUUUGUAAGUAAUCCAAAUUUUAUGAGAAGAUGGGAAAAAAUUUAGGGAGAAUUUUCUUUGGGGUUUUAGAUGUAAUUAGGUUUGAGGGUUUUAAGUGAUUUAUGAGUGAGAAUUAUUUAGUGAUUGUAAUUAUUUUUUAUCAUGAUACAAGAUUUAUCUGUGGAGUAAGUUAAUGCUAAAUUACUUUAAAUUUUGUGUUCUUUUACUUGUGAGCAGUGUUGUAAAAGGCACUAGACGACGCUAACCGAGGCGUUGAUGCCUCGGCUAGUUAAGGUGAGGCAAAUGAGAAAAAGAGCGUGCCUAAGACCUUCGAAGUGAGAGGCGACGUCUCUUCAAAGUAACAGGCAUUUUAUCCUUUUUUUCUUUUUUAAAAAAAUUUUGUUUUAACAGCGUAUAACAAAAGAAACCUUAACUUUAAUAGCUCCACUUCAUGCCACCAAUAGAUAGCAGAGCACAAAGAGAAACAAAGCAACCGAGUAUAUUCUUCCUUCCUUUCAUUCAUCUUUACAUUCUUUUCUCUCUCUGCUUUGCUCCUCUUCUAUUUUCUUCUCCUUUUACUGGCGCUGCACAACAUACAAGUAGGUCCAGCACCUGUUGAGAUUCACAGCUUUUUUGUCUUUUUAACUUUUUUUUUCCUUUUUUCUCUCCUCCUACUUCUCUUAUUCUCUUCUUUUAUGAUCCAUUUUUCACGCCAGCAGGAUUAGACUUACAACACUUUAUUUUUUUUUUCUUUUUAACUUUUUUUCUUCUCCUCUCCUCCUCCAAUUUUUUACUCUUCUUCUCUUAUUCUCUCAUCACACCAUCUUUUAAAGCAGAACUUGUAAUUUUUUUUUAAUUUUUUUUUCAUUUUAAUUGUUUUAUUAGAUUUGUUACUUUUUAAUUUAUUGUUUCAUUAUUGGUUAGAUGGGUAUUGUGAUGUGCAUUUUGUUAAAUAGAUAUUGUGAUUUUGACAUGCUUUUCCUUAAAUGGUAUUGUGAUAUGAUGUGCUUAAAAAAGAAUUGAUGUGUAUUUGCAAAUAAUUUUUUCAUUUUGAUAUGAGUAUUGUGGCAUGUUCUAUAAUGUCGCUAUUUUUAUUUAUUUUGCUACAAAGAUCAUAGAUGUGAAAUGUUGAAUGUAAAUUCAAUGGUGGGAUACAAUUUCCUUUUAGGCAUUACCAAAUGUUGUAAAAGUCUUGUGUAAUAUGUUUUUUUUUUUUUUCAUUUAUUAAACUAGUUAAAAGUAUGAUAUUUUUAUGUUAAAAGUAUAUAUAUGUAGGCUAUGACCCUUCACUUGAAAAAGGCCUUCACAUUGCCUCUCACCUCUCACCUCUCACCUGGGCUAUAGUGUACCCUAUCACCUUAAUGUCGCCUCUCGCCUUAAUAGCACCAUAUUGAAUAGGGAUCCUAACUUUUAAAAUGUUGCUGUUAUUGUGUGGAUUUAUUAGAGCUGAACAUUAAUGGCACUACUUUUAAGGAUAAGUUUCUUGCAGAAAGCAUUUAUGCCUUGUACAUUUAAGUUAAUGAAGGCCAAUUGUGUAGAGGACUAAAGUGUCCUUACAAGUGCUGGCAUGCAUGCCAAGCUGAUAGUUAUUUAGAAGAUGUACCCAGAAAAGUGAUUUCUAUGCCUUGUAGUGUGCUAACACUUAAUCUGAUGUUUAUUCUAUCUUGGUUCCAUAUUUUUCUUCAGCAUUUUAUUUAUUGGCUUAGUUAGUGCUGUGAGGAAAAUUGUUGGUUAUUGUGUGUUGUUCUGAAAGAAAAAUCUUGUAUAGUGUUACCAUCCCUAUGGUGCUCUUUCAUGGACUUACUUCCUUGUCACAUUUUAGUCAAAGUCAGAAAUAUUUUUGUCAGGCUACUGAGUGAUAUAAGAUAAAAUAUGUUGUUAACAGUAAUUGGUGAAAUUGUUUUUUUAAAUUGAUUGGUUAAUUUGUACUGCUUCAAUUCCUUCUGUGGUUAGAGUUGCAAUAAAAUAAGGUUAUGUUAACAUUUUGUUGAUAAUUGGUUCUAUAAAUUAUAGGUGGAAACAAACAUUUAUCAGCUCCACUAAUAAAUUAUUAAGUCAAUCUUGAACAUUAUCAAGUUGUCUGGACUCUGGGCUUGUGAAGGUUUCAACUACUCCAAGCCAGACUUCCUUUAGAAACACUGAUUUGCUGUGUUUUCCCUUUAUGUUGCACCGUCACUUUUAAACUUUGUUUUUAAAUUUGUUUUAAUACUACAUUCAUUGGGGACAUUUUUUGGAUGGUUCACUUGUACUGGUUAGGGGUGUCAAAUUUUAGCAGCUUGAUAGCUUCUGACUUUGGUUGUGUUCCAUUUUCCUUCUUUUAGAAUCAUGUAAUAUCACUUAUUGCCAUGAUUACUAUAGUCACUUGGUGGAAACCUGCUAUGAUUAAUAAAUAAUUAUUAAUCUGCUACUGAACUGUUUAAUGGCAUUUUCAUCCAACACUUUAUCGUGAAAGAACAAAUUGAUUUGGUGUUUGUGCCAUAACUGGGACUGCCUUUAACAUGCAAAUUCAAGCUAAAAACUUUCUUGACUUGUACUGCUAAGGUCAGUAAUAUUAGCAAAAAGGAUGACACUCGAGGACUUGUAACAUUAGUUUGAUGCAACAGUGAAUAUACCUUUCAUUCAAAAUUUAAGCAUAUGGUAAAAUUAAGAUGUAGAAAUUCAAUGCAUGAAGAUAACUUCUAUUUCUAUGUGAAAGAAACUGCUGUAUUUAACAAAGAGAAAAAUCUUUAUCUAAUGGCUUUUGGCAAAUUGCUGUCAAUGGUUCGUUUGCCCUCUUCUACUAAUCAAAGAUGCUUAUGAUUUAGUGGACUUUACCUUUCUGAGCAUGGUCUCCUGUGGAGACAAGCAUUAAGCUCCUGCGCUGUAACCUUUUCAGGCACAAAAAGCCGAAAGGGAGGCUACAGAUCUAAAGGGUACAAUGAGGAAGAGAAUGGAGUUCCUUGAUUUGGAUUAGUGGAUACCCUGCAACCAAGUUACAUGGGUCCGCACAUAUUUUAGCGGUCAAUUGUAGGGAUAUGAUAAGGUUGGAUGCUCUUCCUUAUUCUAUGAAAUUUCUGUAACAUUUUUCAAUGAAAUGUAUUUGACAAAUUUCAUUAAUGCUCGUUCUGUGAAAUUUUUAUUCAAGUUUGGAUGUGGUGUAGUAUGUAGUGGUUCGCUUAUUCCAUUUUCCGCUUUCAUACUGUAUUGGAUAUUUUCAGUUGUAAUGUUUCUGUACAAUCAAGAAAAUUAGAAUCGCACCUUGCAGGCAUUGUUAAUUCUUUCGACUGCAGGACCUCGGAUCUGCAUUGCACUCUUCCAGUAAAGAGAGAUGAUUAAUCAUUGACAGGGAUGGUGAACAUUAACGCCACUUUGAACUUCUAUAAAUGCCACUGGGCUUGUUAAGGGUAGGAUGAUAUUCAUUCUUCUCCAGUUUAAUUAGAAUGUGGUAGACUUAAUAAUGAAGCAUUUAAGGUGGGUAUUCUCAGGCAAUGAGGCAUUGUUUGCCCCCUCGAUGAAUAUUGGGUUACCAAGAAAUCAAAGGGAAGGCUAUUUUUGUUAAUGGGAAGAUUAUUUGUGGGAGCAAAUGGGAAGCACUAUUUGUUGAAUCUAUGGGUUUUAAACCAAGGUACUAAAUCUAAGUUGGAAAUGGAAAUACUGUGGUUGAGCUAAACAAUCAAAACUCUGAAGCAUCUAC